rnacentral:misc_RNA from 1 species
GAUGAAGAACGCAUCGAAAUGCGAUAAGUAGUGUGAAUUGCAGAAUUCAGUGAAUCAUCGAAUCUUUGAACGCACAUUGCGCCCCUUGGUAUUCCAUGGGGCAUGCCUGUUCGAGCGUCAUUUGUACCUUCAAGCUCUGCUUGGUGUUGGGUGUUUGUCUCGCCUCUGCGUGUAGACUCGCCUCAAAACAAUUGGCAGCCGGCGUAUUGAUUUCGGAGCGCAGUACAUCUCGCGCUUUGCACUCAUAACGACGACGUCCAAAAGUACAUUUUUACACUCUUGACCUCGGAUCAGGUAGGGAUACCCGCUGAACUUAAGCAUAUCAAUAAGCGAGG